CAUCAACUCUCAAUAGAUUCAAGAUCAUAUGGUUCUUGUCGUUUCCUUUAUUGAUGUAAUGAAUCAUAUUGAUUGUUUUGUGGAUAUUGAACCAGCCCUGAAUCCCAGGUAUAACUCCCAGUUGGUCAUGGUGAAUAA